AACGAACGCUGGCGGCAGGCCUAACACAUGCAAGUCGAACGCCCCGCAAGGGGAGUGGCGCACGGGUGAGUAACGCGUGGGAAUAUGCCCUUCGGUUCGGAAUAACACAGGGAAACUUGCGCUAAUACCGGAUACGAUCUAUGGAUGAAAGAUUUAUCGCCGAGGGAGUAGCCCGCGUAGGAUUAGCUAGUUGGUGAGGUAAUGGCUCACCAAGGCGACGAUCCUUAGCUGGUCUGAGAGGAUGAUCAGCCACACUGGGACUGAGACACGACCCAGACUCCUACGGGAGGCAGCAGUGGGGAAUAUUGGACAAUGGGCGAAAGCCUGAUCCAGCCAUGCCGCGUGAGUGAUGAAGGCCUUAGGGUUGUAAAGCUCUUUCGCCAGGGAAGAUAAUGACGGUACCUGGAAAAGAAGCCUCGGCUAACUCCGUGCCAGCAGCCGCCGUAA
rnacentral:rRNA from 1 species